AAAAUUUUUUAAAUUUUCAUCUUCAGUUUUGAAAGACUUAGUUCUUAUAAGUUUUUCUUUUUUAAGGAAAAGAAAAAUGGGCCUAUAGCUCAGUUGGUUAGAGCACACGCCUGA
rnacentral:misc_RNA from 1 species